rnacentral:rRNA from 1 species
UACGGAGGGUGCAAGCGUUAUCCGGAUUCACUGGGCUUAAAGGGUGCGUAGGCGGGUCUGUAAGUCAGGGGUGAAAUCUCCGAGCUUAACUCGGAAACUGCCAUUGAUACUAUAGGUCUUGAAUUAUCUGGAGGUAAGCGGAAUAUGUCAUGUAGCGGUGAAAUGCUUAGAUAUGACAUAGAACACCAAUUGCGAAGGCAGCUUACUACGGAUCGAUUGACACUGAGGCACGAAAGCGUGGGGAUCAAACAGG